UCGAAAGGGAAACAGCCCAGACCACCAGCUAAGGUCCCAAAAUAUAUGUUAAGUGGAAAAGGAUGUGGCGUUGCCCAGACAACUAGGAUGUUGGCUUAGAAGCAGCCAUCAUUUAAAGAGUGCGUAAUAGCUCACUAGUCGAGUGACACUGCGCCGAAAAUGUACCGGGGCUAAACAUAUUACCGAAGCUGUGGAUUGUCCUUUGGACAAUGGUAGGAGAGCGUUCUAAGGGCGUUGAAGCAUGAUCGUAAGGACAUGUGGAGCGCUUAGAAGUGAGAAUGCCGGUGUGAGUAGCGAAAGACGGGUGAGAAUCCCGUCCACCGAUUGACUAAGGUUUCCAGAGGAAGGCUCGUCCGC
rnacentral:rRNA from 1 species